UUUAGGUGACUAUGGCUUCAGGCUGACAGUAUAUUAAAAUGGGCCAUUCAGGCUUUAGGUGACUAUGCCUUCAGGCUGACAGUAUAUUAAAAUGGGCCAUUCAGGCUUUAGGUGACUAUGGCUUCAGGCUGACAGUAUAUUAAAAUGGGCCAUUCAGGCUUUAGGUGACUAUGCCUUCAGGCUGACAGUAUAUUAAAAUGGGCCAUUCAGGCUUUAGGUGACUAUGGCUUCAGGCUGACAGUAUAUUAAAAUGGGCCAUUCAGGCUUUAGGUGACUAUGGCUUCAGGCUGACAGUAUAUUAAAAUGGGUCAUUCAGGCUUUAGGUGACUAUGGCUUCAGGCUGACAGUAUAUUAAAAUGGGCCAUUCAGGCUUUAGGUGACUAUGGCUUCAGGCUGACAGUAUAUUAAAAUGGGCCAUUCAGGCUUUAGGUGACUAUGGCUUCAGGCUGACAGUAUAUUAAAAUGGGUCAUUCAGGCUUUAGGUGACUAUGGCUUCAGGCUGACAGUAUAUUAAAAUGGGCCAUUCAGGCUUUAGGUGACUAUGCCUUCAGGCUGACAGUAUAUUAAAAUGGGUCAUUCAGGCUUUAGGUGACUAUGGCUUCAGGCUGACAGUAUAUUAAAAUGGGCCAUUCAGGCUUUAGGUGACUAUGGCUUCAGGCUGACAGUAUAUUAAAAUGGGCCAUUCAGGCUUUAGGUGACUAUGGCUUCAGGCUGACAGUAUAUUAAAAUGGGUCAUUCAGGCUUUAGGUGACUAUGGCUUCAGGCUGACAGUAUAUUAAAAUGGGCCAUUCAGGCUUUAGGUGACUAUGCCUUCAGGCUGACAGUAUAUUAAAAUGGGCCAUUCAGGCUUUAGGUGACUAUGGCUUCAGGCUGACAGUAUAUUAAAAUGGGCCAUUCAGGCUUUAGGUGACUAUGCCUUCAGGCUGACAGUAUAUUAAAAUGGGCCAUUCAGGCUUUAGGUGACUAUGGCUUCAGGCUGACAGUAUAUUAAAAUGGGCCAUUCAGGCUUUAGGUGACUAUGCCUUCAGGCUGACAGUAUAUUAAAAUGGGCCAUUCAGGCUUUAGGUGACUAUGGCUUCAGGCUGACAGUAUAUUAAAAUGGGCCAUUCAGGCUUUAGGUGACUAUGCCUUCAGGCUGACAGUAUAUUAAAAUGGGCCAUUCAGGCUUUAGGUGACUAUGGCUUCAGGCUGACAGUAUAUUAAAAUGGGCCAUUCAGGCUUUAGGUGACUAUGGCUUCAGGCUGACAGUAUAUUAAAAUGGGUCAUUCAGGCUUUAGGUGACUAUGGCUUCAGGCUGACAGUAUAUUAAAAUGGGCCAUUCAGGCUUUAGGUGACUAUGGCUUCAGGCUGACAGUAUAUUAAAAUGGGCCAUUCAGGCUUUAGGUGACUAUGGCUUCAGGCUGACAGUAUAUAAAUGGGUCAUUCAGGCUUUAGGUGACUAUGGCUUCAGGCUGACAGUAUAUAAAUGGGCCAUUCAGGCUUUAGGUUGCAUCGAUAUCAUAGCCAUUAGCUACAGUACAGGAGAAGAUAGGUUCAGGUGUUUCACAAAUAAGCAUAUUUACUGAAACUGAAUAACUAAUGUAAUUCAAAUAUAUAAAACAGAUUCAAACUCCUCUUUAGCAAGACAGAGAGACAGAGACAGGAAAAUGAUAAAUAAAAGUGGUUGUUGUUUACUGGAAGCUGACAAGCCUAUUACUGAGGAGUUCAUCUAACAGAGGUUUCUGUAGCUAGCUGCUGUAAUUAUACUAGAAGAUAAACCAGGAGAAGAGAAGGGGAGCGGGGCCAAACCAGGAGAGAGGGGGAGCGGAGCGGAGUCAAACUAGGAGAGAGGGGGAGCGGAGCGGAGUCAAACUAGGAGAGAGGGGGAGCGGAGCGGAGUCAAACUAGGAGAGAGGGGGAGCGGGGUCAAACCAGGAGAGAGGGGGAGCGGAGCGGAGUCAAACUAGGAGAGAGGGGGAGCGGGGUCAAACCAGGAGAGGGGGAGCGGAGCGGAGUCAAACUAGGAGAGAGGGGGAGCCGGGUCAAACCAGGAGAGAGGGGGAGCGGAGCGGAGUCAAACUAGGAGAGAGGGGGAGCGGAGUCAAACCAGGAGAGAGGGGGAGCGGAGCGGAGUCAAACUAGGAGAGAGGGGGAGCGGGGUCAAACCAGGA